rnacentral:misc_RNA from 1 species
GAUGAAGAACGUAGCAAAAUGCGAUAAGUAAUGUGAAUUGCAGAAUUCAGUGAAUCAUCGAAUCUUUGAACGCACAUUGCGCCCGCUGGUAUUCCGGCGGGCAUGCCUGUUCGAGCGUCAUUUCAACCCUCAAGCCCCCGGGUUUGGUGUUGGGGAUCGGCUCUGCCCUUCUGGGCGGUGCCGCCCCCGAAAUACAUUGGCGGUCUCGCUGCAGCCUCCAUUGCGUAGUAGCUAACACCUCGCAACUGGAACGCGGCGCGGCCAUGCCGUAAAACCCCAACUUCUGAAUGUUGACCUCGGAUAAGGUAGGAAUACCCGCUGAACUUAAGCAUAUCAAUAAGCGGAGGA